AGAGCGAACGUUAGCGGCGGGCCUAACACAUGCAAGUCGAACGAGAAUGAGGGCUUCGGCUCUCUAGUAAAGUGGCGGACGGGUGCGUAACACGUAGGUAAUCUACCUUCCGGCGGGGGACAACAGUCCGAAAGGAUUGCUAAUACCGCGUACGUCGGCAGAGUCCUCGGACUUUGUCGGGAAAGAUGGCCUCUCCUUGGAAGCUGUCACCGGAAGAUGAACCUGCGGCCAUCAGCUUGUUGGUGAGGUAACGGCUCACCAAGGCGAAGACGGGUAGCUGGUCUGAGGGGAUGAUCAGCCACACUGGGACUGCGACACGGCCCAGACUCCUACGGGAGCAGCAGUGGGGAAUAUUGGGCAAUGGGCGAAAGCCUGACCCAGCCACGCCGCGUGAGUCGAUGGAAAGGCCUUGGGUCGUAAAAGCUCCGUGGUGGGAGGGACGAAUAACGUCUGGU
rnacentral:rRNA from 1 species